ensembl:lncRNA
AUGACUUCAGCUUCUGCUGUUCUGUUUCCUUUUUUGAAGGUUCUCAUACCACAGCCUGUGUCACGCCCGGCUUCUGGACACAAACUGCUCACACACUGCUGCAACGCUGAGUUAUCGGAAUGGCAUUUGGCAGCGUCCGAGAAUUUUUGGCUGCCUUCUGCCUCGAUAAACACACAGCAGCAGGCCUUGUCCAAAACAGGCGGGGUCAAGAGGCAGUUAUGGCCUAAUGAUCAUGAUGGGAUUUCAAAAGACUCUGAACCUGGAAUCCACUCAAGUAGUUCUGAUCAAGAUCUCUACUCAAGAAAUUUAUGUCAAGAACCCUACUUAAGAAAUUCUGAUCAAGAUUCUUUCUCAGGAAGUUCAGAUCAACGCUUGCUUUCAAGAAAUUCUGAUCAAGACCCAGUUUUAACAAGUUCUAAUCAAGACUCUUUCUCAGGAUGUUCAAACCAAGACCCCUAUUCAGUAGGUUCUGACCAAGACCCAUGCCCAGGAAGAUCAGAUCAAGACCCCAUUUCAAGAAGUUCUGAUCAAGACCCAUACUCUAGAAGUUCCAUUCAAGACCCCUUUUCAAUACAUUCAGGUCAAGACCCCUUCUCAACAAGUGCUGACUCCUUAUUAAGACAUUGCAACCAAGACCCCUACUCAAGAAGUACUGAUCAAGACUCCUACUCAGGGAGAUCAGCUCAAGACCCCAUUUCAAGAAAUUCUGAUCAAGACCCGUUUUCAAUAGUUUAUGAUCAAGACCACUUCUCCACAAGUUCAGAACAAGACCCCUCCUUAACAAGUUCAGAUCAAGACCCCUCUUCCAGACGUUCUAAUCCAGACCUCUUUUCAGGAGGUUCUAAUCAAGACCCUUUCUCAAGAUGUUCUGACAAAGAACCUUUCUUAUAUAUUCCUGGCCAAGGGACUUUCUCAAAAAGGUCAGAUCAGGACCCUUUCACAGGAAGUUCCAACCAAGACCCCUACACAAAAACAUCUGAUCCAAACAGCCUUUUGCAAAAUUUUGAUCAAGACCCAUUUUCAACAAGUUUUGAUCAAGACCCAUACUCAGGAAUUUCUUAUCAAGAUCCCUUUUCUGGAGGUUCCAACCAAGACCCCUGCUUAAAAAGGUCAAAUCAAGACCCUUUUUCUGAAUGUUCAGAUCAAGACCCCUCCUUUAGACAUACUGAGCAAGACCCGUACUCAGGACAGUUAGAUCAGGACCCCUUAUUAAGAAUGUCGGAUCAAGACCCCUACUCAACAUCAACACUCAUAAACAGUUAUGUUGUAGAAAACAGUGUGAGCAGUUUUCUUGAAGAAGCUGAUGAGGAAAACCACUCUGAUCCUAAAAGGCUCAAACUGGACCUAGAACGUCUUCAGCUGGACUCUUCUGGAAAAUUCUGUUUAACAGAACCAGUUCUUAUGAAGUCCAGACUAGAAUCACCUUCACACCAGACCAGUCGCUGUUCUCAGUCGCUGAACACAGAGAUGAUUCAGGUGUUCGGAGCGUUCCACGGGCUGAAGGUGGUGAGGGCCAGGCGUUCCAUCACUUCUGACCGUUCGGACUGUGGACGUGAAGGGGCUGCUUGUUUUAGAACCUCGGUCCGAGAGCACAGCACGGUCAGAACCAACGUCUUCCUGCACGGAAAAACCUUCACCUCUCACACACCUGACGGCAGCUGCAGGUUCCUCUGGGUUCCAAACCAGAACUGA